rnacentral:lncRNA from 1 species
UUCUUUAUAUAGAUAAAGGGCGGUGGAGGUUUAUGGUAAAGAGAAGAAUAAAUGGUGGAGAAGUGGAGGGAAUGGUGGAGAAGUGGAGGGAGUGAUGGAGAAGUGGAAGGAAUAGAGGGAAGGUGGAGGAAAUGGUGGAGAAAGUGGAGGGAGUGAUGGAGAAGUGGAGGGAAUAAAGGGAAAGUGGAGGGAAUGGUAGAGAAAGUGGAGGGAGUGAUGGAGAAGUGGAGUAAAUGGUGGAGAAAGUAGAGGGAGUGAUGGAAAAAUGGAGGGAAUGGUGGGAGAUGGAGUGGAUUUAGGGAAGUGAUCUUAUUAUUAUUAUUAUUAUUAUUAUUAUUAUUAUU